UGUCUUUCACCCUCUGCCGCGUAAGAAUUUUCUUUCACCCUCUGCCGUGAUCGUGAGACCUUCCCCAGCCAUGUGAAACUUUUUCAGCUUUCCUCCGCUGUUUUGGGAAACGUCAUAUUCUUAUCUUGGAAGAGUAAUCUGAAAAUUGAAGCAUCUUAGAUCCAACAAGGAUUAAAAGGAGAUGUCCUUGCAGCCAUCCAAUAGAGUCAGAAGACUUUGGAUUUUGGAGUCUGUGAGAUGAUGUACUCACAUCCCAACAAAUUGAAAAUGCUGACCAAUCCCAGCAUAGCCAACUCGAAUUUGCUCCUCCGUCAAAGUGACUAGUACCUCAUUUCUUCCUCUUUAGAAUUUGUAGAGUCCUAUGGCUAUUGAUAUCUAGCAUCGUGGCUUCACUUACAUGGAUGAGCCCCAGCUGGAAUGCCUAGAAGACGUGGGACAGCUGGAUCUCUCUCCACACGGUUUUUCAUUGUUGCCUCAGGUUCCAACAAAAGCAAAAGCUGCAAGGUCUUCUGAGGGGAAGACUUAGAAAUACCACAAUGUUACUUCUGCUGCAUUUUGUUGAUAAAAAAUCCCACAAUGCCAGCUUCAUUUAAAGGGGUAAAGAUACAGAUUAUUCACCUUCGAUGGGAGGAACUGCAAAUGAUGUAAUUUGUGAUAAUUUUUAAUAUAUUGUAAUGUAUUGACUUAUCUUUAAAAAAUGAAAAAUAAACCAAAAACUAAAAGCAAAA
rnacentral:lncRNA from 1 species